GUUUUUCAUUUUGGUGGCAAGUAAAUUUGUUUCAAAGCCUGAAACUCCAAAAGUAACUCUCAUUUCUCUGUUCUUCUCCUCCCAUUAUCACACCCUCCACCAUCGUAUUCUGUUUUGAUAAUGUGAAUAUUGAUUUGGGGGGUCUUCGAAACCAGGAUUUUAUAACCAUGGCAACAAAAAGAGUAAAGGUAGAUUGUGGAGGAACGGUGGACGAGUCCCAUACCAUGAUGGAAGAUCGAAUAUCACAGUUACCUGAUCCUUUGAUUCAUCAUAUUUUCUCAUUCUUGCCCUCUAUUUAUUUAGUACGAAUGAGUCUUCUUUCUCAUCGUUGGAGACAUAUGUGGGUUUCCGCUCCCUUUAUUUAUUUCAAAAACUUUUGUAAUAUUACUUUCGAUAAGAAGGUGAGCAGUCGAGAUAGAGUCUUAAAGUUUGUGACCAACUAUGUUAAACACCGUGAGCUAUGUAUGCACAUUCCAAAUACAUCCAUAAUAGGUUUUAAAUGUGACACGCCUUAUUGGUUUGCAAGCCGCAAUGGUGCUUUUAGACAAAUAGAUGAUUGGUUGAACUUUGUUGUUAGAAGUAAAGUGAAGGAGUUAGAUCUCCAUCUCAAGGAGUAUCUUUUACCUCCGUUCGUUUUUAAUGCAAGUUCAUUAACCGUCCUGAAGUUGACUAAGCUGAAUUUGUUUGUCCCUUCUCUUUCAAGCUAUCCCUCUUUGAAAGUUCUCUCUUUGGAUUGUGUGAAAUCCAAUGCUAGGUCACUUCAAAAUCUUAUUUCUGGAUGCCCUAUUAUUGAAGAAUUGUAUUUGUCAGGCUCUGAUAUCGGACGUUUACAUUUUGCUGUUAGUGAAACACUUAGAAGUCUGUCAUUAUUGUCUGUGGAUCUUACUAAUCAAUGGCUUGAUUCCCUAUUUUCUAGACUUCCUUUGCUUGAGAGAUUUUUUUUCAAAUUUGGUAGGUUGAAAUAUGUUAGCAUUCGUAGUCAUAGCCUGAAACAUGUUUCGAUCGAGUAUUUUUAUGCCAUUGAAGCUGCUCUUACAACACCAAAUUUAGUUAGCUUGCACAUUGUUUGUGAACCUUGGUCAAAAAUUUCUGUUGAAACUCCCAAUCUGUUAGAAGUUGUCAAUUUGACCCUCAAAGAUGAUGGAAUGAUUAAAGACUCAUAUAUUUCUCUUGUACAUCUUCUUUCAAAUCUGAAUUUCUUGAAGAAGAUGGUGCUGACAAUUUACAAAGAUGAGGUUCUCAUAUUUCCGAAACAUAUAAGACAGAAGUACCUUUCUCCCAUGCCUAAUCUGAAGCAUCUGAAGGUGAUGAAGUUUAGUGGCCGUAGCUUUACUAAAAUUGCAGAAAUGAGGGAGUCUUUGCUUUGGUGUGCACCUUCUUUGGAGAGUGUUGAAAUUGGAAGAAAUUGUAUAUAGAAGGAUAUUGUAUUGGUAGAUGGUAAAGAGAAUGAGGCAGUAGUAGGUAUACAUACCAGAUUUUGUAACCGUGGCAACAAAAAGAGUAAAGGUGGAUUGUGGAGGAAUGGUGGAGAAUGAGUGCCAUACCAUGUCGGAAGACCGAUUAUCACAAUUACCUGAUCAUCUAAUACAUCAUAUUUUCUCAUUCAUUCCCACAAUAUAUUUAGUCCGAAUGAGUUUUCUUUCCAAGCGUUGGAGACAUUUGUGGGUUUCUACUCCUUUUUUAUAUUUUGAAGACUUCAGUGCUAGCAUUUUCGACAGGAAGGUUAGGAAUGGGGGUAGGGUCUUAAAGUUUGUAACUGAUUGUGUGACACAUCGCAAGCUAUGCAUGAAAACUCCAAAUAGUUUCAUAGUAAGUUUUAAGUGUGACUUGUUUUAUAGUUUGGCAAGCAGGAGCGGAGCGUUUUAGACGA